UCCUUUUAAUGAUCAAAAGACUGUUUGUUCUUCAUAUGUUUGUGGUUGAACUAGUUUUAAAAUUUAUCCUAAUGAUUUAGUAAGAGAUGUAUGUUGGCUCAUAUGCAGCAAUGCUGAUGUGGUAUCUCGGAAACUAUUCGGUACAACCUAACGAUACAUCCAAUACGAAUGAUUGUGUGACUUUCUUAUGUUAUGGUGUCUCGAAGAAUGAAUUUAGCCAUUGGCUCAUAUGCAGCAAUGCUGAUGUGGUAUCUUGAAAACUACUUGAUACAACCUAACGAUACAUCCAAUAUCAAUGAUUGUGUGACUUUCUUAUGUUAUGGUGUCUCGAAGAAUGAAUUUAGCCGUUGGCUCAUAUGCAGC
rnacentral:lncRNA from 1 species